GUCUACGGCCAUGCUACCCUGAACAAGCCCUAUCCGCUCUGAUCUCGGAAGCUAAGCAGGGUUGGGCCCGGUUAGUACUUGGAUAGGAGACCACCUUGGAAGACCAGGUGUUGUAGGUG
rnacentral:rRNA from 1 species